AUGGUGAUAAUGAUGAUGGAGAUGAUGGAAAUGUUGACUAAAAACUAACCUGAGCAAAUUCAGCUGUUUCAGAAUUGAAUGAUGGGCAUUUUGGUUCUGAAGCAAUAGUCAAUAUGGAACAUCAUUAA